rnacentral:tRNA from 1 species
AUUUAAAUAGCUUAUAAUUAGAGCAUAAUAUUGAAAAUAUUAAGGAAAUUUUAUAAAUUUUUAAAUA